UCGCAAACAUUGCAGCGAUUCAUGCCGGAUAUGCACAGCGUAGGACACUGAAGGACGAUGCUGUUCCUACUUUGUUUGGACUAGCGGGAGAUUCGGGUACACAACCUCCAGAUCAGGAAACUCCUGGCGUAUCCAGCGGACAACACAUGACGGGAUGACCACUCUGAUGCCUCGUCC